UACGUAGGGGGCAAGCGUUGUCCGGAAUCAUUGGGCGUAAAGAGCGUGUAGGCGGCUCGAUAAGUCUGCUGUGAAAGUCCAGGGCUCAACCCUGAAAGGCCGGUGGAAACUGUCGGGCUAGAGUCCGGAAGAGGCGAGUGGAAUUCCCGGUGUAGCGGUGAAAUGCGCAGAUAUCGGGAGGAACACCAAUGGCGAAGGCAGCUCGCUGGGACGGUACUGACGCUGAGACGCGAAAGCGUGGGGAGCAAACAGG
rnacentral:rRNA from 1 species